GUGCCAGCCGCCGCGGUAAUACGGAGGGUGCAAGCGUUAUCCGGAAUCACUGGGUUUAAAGGGUGCGUAGGCGGCCCAAUAAGUCAGUCGUGAAAUCGCUGGGCUCAACCCAUGCAAUUGCGAUUGAUACUGUAGGACUUGAAUUAGGUUGAGGCUGGCGGAAUGCGACAUGUAGCGGUGAAAUGCUUAGAUAUGUCGCAGAACACCGAUUGCGAAGGCAGCCAGCUGGGCCUUGAUUGACGCUGAGGCACGAAAGCGUGGGGAGCAAACAGGAUUAGAAACCCGCGUAGUCC
rnacentral:rRNA from 1 species